rnacentral:antisense_RNA from 1 species
UGUUGCGGUAGGACGGAAGGGGGACACCUUCGGGUGUGCUGGGUCUUGAGCCAGUCUGCGAACCCCUUUUCGUUCUGCCACCAUA